rnacentral:lncRNA from 1 species
CACCUUGACCCAUCCAGUCGGUACCCACCAUAUUUUGUUGUAUUCAGCAAUAUAGUGAGGCCGACUUACUUGAAUGUGGCCUUUUUCUUCAUGAGAAAAUCUUUUUACCGUGCCCAAGGCUGAACCACCACAACUUGUAGAUGCUAUUGUAACAACAGAGUUAUCUUUCCAUCGCACCAGUAACACUAUCGCUUCUGCUAACAAAAAUCCACGACUGAAAAAAAA